UCCACCCGGGGGCCCCGCGCUGGACGUGCACGCGCCCGCGAGCCAGCCCCUUCCGUCCGCCCGCGCCCCGGGAAGUCCCCCGCCCGCGCCCCGGGAAGUCCCCCACCCGGAGCCCCGCCGAGGCCCAGAAGGUGUGGGCGAGCCCGCUGGCAGGAAAACGCGGCGGCCUGGCGGCCAGGCUUUCCUAGCCCCUGGAUGUGUCCGGGGAGGAACGUGGACUUUCUCUCCUUCCACAAGUAUUUAUUUAUUCAGCAGCUACUACGCCCUGGUCGGCUCUGAGGAGGGUCCGGACGUCGGGCUCCGGACUGGACGGUGCCACGAGCCGCAGGCCUGGCAGGGCCCGGACACACAGCAUUUGUGCCCCCAGCCCCUCGGCCUGGGAGGGAGCCUCCCAGUCCCCAGACUCCUCUCCAGCCAGGUCUACACCACCGUCCCCCAUUCAUAUUCUUCUGUGUUACUAAGCAGCUGCUUUUAGAGUAAAAAACAAAAAACGUUGGAAGACCUGGAGAUCAUUCACCUUUUGGUGUGAAUUCGCUUAAUCCUGCCGCCUAAUUUGUAAAGACUUCCCCACCUUGUGCGGGACGCAGCGCACAGCAAGGGCUUUCAGGGGUUUUGGAGCAACGUCCACCUCCCCUCCUGGGUGCACAGACCGAUAAGGAAGUCAGGUCUUCCUCGUUUACACCCAGGAAACUAGGCUUCGCCCGUAACAAAGGGAAGCCCCCGCCUCCAGGUCCUGUGUUCAGCCCCACUCCACUGAUCAGGAAGUGAUAACACAAGGCAAGCUUCUCCUGUUCCAGGCUCGAGAGGCAGACAGUGAAAAAGAGUCGGAGAAUCUCACUCAGCAUCAUCACCCCACGAGCAGACUAGGAAGCUGAGGCUCCGAGAGGCCAAGUAAUCCAGCCGGAAGCACAGACGUGGGACCACGGAGUGGGGACUGCACCCGCCGCCCGCCCAGGGGGACUGCCCACUCUCCGCAG